CUAGGAUCUGAAAAUAGUUCUUGUGGACUUUCUGAUGUGGUACUUCAUCAGACCAGGGAACACAUCAUACAACUGAAGAAAGAUACAAAGAGUCCUCUGUCCUUCUCCAAAAUAACGUAGAUGUAUGUUGGCGAAUUUCCUUUGCUUCUUCCAUAAGUAACCAUUACUUAAAGCUAUGCCUGCCUUUGAAAAUGACAUGAAAUAGAGGAAUUUCUGGUCGCUCCGUGAAGCUGUCCAGCUGGUUGACAAGAGACUCUUUGACCAUCUUGUAUCCAGAAAUAAACACAAUUUUCUCAGGACCUCUCCGCAAACUGAAGAUAGGG